GUCCACGCCGUAAAACGAUGGAUACUAGCUGUUCGGAGCAAUCUGAGUGGCUAAGCGAAAGUGAUAAGUAUCCCACCUGGGGAGUACGUUCGCAAGAAUGAAACUCAAAGGAAUUGACGAGGGCCCGCACAAGCGGUGGAGCAUGUGGUUUAAUUCGAUGAUACGCGAGGAACCUUACCAAGGCUUAAAUGUAGAUUGACCGGUUUUGGAAACAGACUUUUUCGCAAGACAAUUUACAAGGUGCUGCAUGGUUGUCGU
rnacentral:rRNA from 1 species